AUAACGGCGUCGAGCGGCGGACGGGUGAGUAAUGCCUAGGAAAUUGCCCUGAUGUGGGGGAUAACCAUUGGAAACGAUGGCUAAUACCGCAUGAUGCCUACGGGCCAAAGAGGGGGACCUUCGGGCCUCUCGCGUCAGGAUAUGCCUAGGUGGGAUUAGCUAGUUGGUGAGGUAAGGGCUCACCAAGGCGACGAUCCCUAGCUGGUCUGAGAGGAUGAUCAGCCACACUGGAACUGAGACACGGUCCAGACUCCUACGGGAGGCAGCAGUGGGGAAUAUUGCACAAUGGGCGCAAGCCUGAUGCAGCCAUGCCGCGUGUGUGAAGAAGGCCUUCGGGUUGUAAAGCACUUUCAGUCGUGAGGAAGGUAGUGUAGUUAAUAGCUGCAUUAUUUGACGUUAGCGACAGAAGAAGCACCGGCUAACUCCGUGCCAGCAGCCGCGGUAAUACGGAGGGUGCGAGCGUUAAUCGGAAUUACUGGGCGUAAAGCGCAUGCAGGUGGUUUGUUAAGUCAGAUGUGAAAGCCCGGGGCUCAACCUCGGAAUUGCAUUUGAAACUGGCAGACUAGAGUACUGUAGAGGGGGGUAGAAUUUCAGGUGUAGCGGUGAAAUGCGUAGAGAUCUGAAGGAAUACCGGUGGCGAAGGCGGCCCCCUGGACAGAUACUGACACUCAGAUGCGAAAGCGUGGGGAGCAAACAGGAUUAGAUACCCUGGUAGUCCACGCCGUAAACGAUGUCUACUUGGAGGUUGUGGCCUUGAGCCGUGGCUUUCGGAGCUAACGCGUUAAGUAGACCGCCUGGGGAGUACGGUCGCAAGAUUAAAACUCAAAUGAAUUGACGGGGGCCCGCACAAGCGGUGGAGCAUGUGGCUUAAUUCGAUGCAACGCGAAGAACC
rnacentral:rRNA from 1 species